GAAAAGCACUCCUACGGGAGGCAGCAGUGGGGAAUAUUGCACAAUGGGCGCAAGCCUGAUGCAGCCAUGCCGCGUGUAUGAAGAAGGCCUUCGGGUUGUAAAGUACUUUCAGCAGUGAGGAAGGUGGGUAUGUUAAUAGCAUACUCAUUUGACGUUAGCUGCAGAAGAAGCACCGGCUAACUCCGUGCCAGCAGCCGCGGUAAUACGGAGGGUGCGAGCGUUAAUCGGAAUUACUGGGCGUAAAGCGCAUGCAGGUGGUUUGUUAAGUCAGAUGUGAAAGCCCGGGGCUCAACCUCGGAAUUGCAUUUGAAACUGGCAAACUAGAGUACUGUAGAGGGGGUAGAAUUUCAGGUGUAGCGGUGAAAUGCGUAGAGAUCUGAAGGAAUACCGGUGGCGAAGGCGGCCCCCUGGACAGAUACUGACACUCAGAUGCGAAAGCGUGGGGAGCAAACAGGAUUAGAUACCCUGGUAG
rnacentral:rRNA from 1 species